CCAGCCGGCUUCCGUAGUGCGUCCGGCGAAGAUACCGGCUCCGCGGGCGCCAGGGCCUCACACACAAACGUUCCAGGCGGCCGCCGGGAGGGCGCAUGCGCUUUCAGGAAAGCUGUCAACAGAGCCGCUCGGCAGCAAUGUAACAUGGAGUUAGCAUCCACCAUCUUCUCUCCUGAAGUGACUGUGGAGUCUAAAGAGACUGGAGAUUUGAAGAGCUCCCCUCUCUCCUGCUCUCCUCAGCUGUGCCCACUCUUCUCAUGAAGUCAUCUCCACCAGUGAGAACGUCCCAUACCGGUGGGUCUGGUUCAGUAUGCAUGUAACAUCCCAUUCAGGUUGUGUUGGGCAGUUUCCAGAGGGAGAAUCUCAUGAUGCUUACUUGUAUGGACACAUGACUCCAGAGAUUGCUAAGAGCAGACUUCCUGGGUGAAAUCAUUCUCUUCUUGGUUGAGCUGAGAUUUUAUCUUGUUCUUGAGUCAGCAGCCCUUUUAUUCUUGUGCAUUCUAUCAUCUCCACUCAUCUAAAGAACUUCUCCUGGAUUUUCAUCCUAUUGUUUUCUUUGAUAAACAAAUAUUAUUCACGA